GAUGAACGCUGGCGGCGUGCCUAAUACAUGCAAGUCGAGCGAACGGACGAGAAGCUUGCUUCUCUGAUGUUAGCGGCGGACGGGUGAGUAACACGUGGAUAACCUACCUAUAAGACUGGGAUAACUUCGGGAAACCGUAGCUAAUACCGGAUAAUAUUUUGAACCGCAUGGUUCAAAAGUGAAAGACGGUCUUGCUGUCACUUAUAGAUGGAUCCGCGCUGCAUUAGCUAGUUGGUAAGGUAACGGCUUACCAAGGCAACGAUGCAUAGCCGACCUGAGAGGGUGAUCGGUCACACUGGAACUGAGACACGGUCCAGACUCCUACGGGAGGCAGCAGUAGGGAAUCUUCCGCAAUGGGCGAAAGCCUGACGGAGCAAUGCCGCGUGAGUGAUGAAGGUCUUCGGAUCGUAAAACUCUGUUAUUAGGGAAGAACAUAUGUGUAAGUAACUGUGCACAUCUUGACGGUACCUAAUCAGAAAGCCACGGCUAACUACGUG
rnacentral:rRNA from 1 species